GGAUCAAAGCUUUUAUCUACACUCGACUCAUUUGAAGUUUGGUUCAUAAAAUCCAACUCAUAUCCAAUUCUAACUAAAAGCUCUUAAUCUAAGCCCGUCCCAAAUAGGCCCGGAUCAGGUUUCUAAGUUCGGGUAAUUUUUUUUUUUUUUUUGCAAAUCUUCAACCCGGCGGCGUCAAAUCAUAGCAACUUCGGCCUAGGAUUUGGUUAAGUAAUUUAGGCCGCCUAGCUUUUUAUCUUUCUGACUGCUUAGAAGUUAACAGCAUACAUAGAACCAUUCCUUCAUUUUAGAGCGUCAGGCCUAAUUCAGCUGCUUCGAGAACUAUCCUCGGAACUCGGAA
rnacentral:lncRNA from 1 species